UUGUAAUCUUUAUUAUGAAAUACAACAUCAAAUAUUAUAUUUCUACAUGGUAUCAGAGCCAGGUUUGUAGAGAUUUAUUUUCUCUCUCGUCAAGUUUUAAAUUUUUGGAGACUCAUGACUCCUGUUCUUUUGUGUUAUCCAUCUAGGAUAAUAUUUGUCUCUCACCGUUCACCUAGAGAGGAUGCCAAAGUCGCCUUGCAGCUCCCUUGUCAGAUUUGUGGUUCGUUUGCCGUUUGGGUGUUGGGUGAAGGCGUCUUUUUGAUACUAUUCAUUUGGGUUACCCAUAAAGAGUAACUUUUGGAGACUUAGAGCUCUGUUUAUUUGGGUUACCCAUAAAAGAGUAACAUUUGGAGACUUAGGGCUCUGUUCAUUUGGGUUACUCAUAAAGGGUAACAUUUGGAGACUUAGGGCUCUGUUUAUUUGGGUUACUCAUAAAGGAUAACAUUUGGAGACGUAGCGCUCUGUUCAUUUGGGUUACUCAUAAAGAGUAACAUUUGAAUCUGUUCAUUUGGGUUACUCAUAAAGAGUAACAUCUGGAGACUUAUGGUUCUGUUCAUUUGGGUUAUUCACAAAGGGUAACAUUUAGAGACUUAGGGUUCUGUUCAUUUUGGGUUACUCAUAAAGGGUAACAUUUGAAGACGUAGGGCUCUAUUCAUUUGGGUUACUCAUAAAGGGUAACAUUUGGAGACUUAGGUCUAUGCUCAUUUGGGUUAUCUAUAAAGGGUAACACUUGGAGACUUAGGACUCUGUUCAUAAGAUAUUGUUCACGGGAAUUAUUCAUCAAGUAUUGUUCAUGGGAAUUAUUCAUCGGGUACUGUUCACGAGUACUGUUUCUCGGGGGUACUGUUCACGAGUACUAUUCAUCAGGUACUGUUCACGAGUACUGUUUCUCGGGUACUGUUCACGAGUCACGAGUACUGUUCACGGAUUCGAAAUUCUAUUCACAGUAAGGCGUUUUACCAAGCUGAGAAAAUGUGGUCUCCCGUUCUAGUGCUGAAUCUAAAUGUCGAGUCAUGGUAAAAACCGUUUGUGAAGUUUUGUGGGUACGUCAAUUAUUGGAAGAAGUUGGGUUUACAAAUUCAGUGUCUGUUAAGUUGUAUGGGACGAGUUGAUUAUAUAUGUAACAAGUUGGACAUGAUUAACAUUUAUGCUCCAAUUUGAGGGGGAUUGUUAUAGAUUAUAGGAAGUAAAUAUAUUAAUAUAGGAAGUAAAUAUUGAUAAAUGGGUUAGUUGCUUAAUCUUAGGGAUUGUAUAAUUAUAGACUUGAUUUUCUUUCAUGUUUAGAUACCGUCUUUUAUAUAUAAAUAGGUUGUAAUCUUUAUUAUGAAAUAUAACAUCAAAUAUUAUAUUUCUACAAUCUUAAAAUUAAAUUAGAUGCAAGCUUAAAAAACUCUCUUUCCUGUAUGAUAACAAAUAGAAAAUAGAAAAUUAUUUUAAUUAGAGAAUGGGCCCUACCUAAAAAUAUGUCAAGACAUAUUCUCACAUAUCUCUAAAAAAUGACAAGAUAGGUGGAGAAGGGGCAUUUCUAGUAGACACCUGACUUAUUUUCUCUAUUUGCAGGUCCCUUUCAAGAUUGUAUUGUGGGUCCUGUUUGAUGAAGCAAAUGGAAAAUUCUUCAUCGCUAUCCAACUUCCUCAUUGAUUUAAUUAUCUGGUAUAAUUAGGCAAAAACAAUUUAAGGUCUUCUAAUACCAGUAAAAUAAGCUGACAUUCCUGUUUUCUUCAUCAUCAAUCCAAAAGAAAAAAAUGGGGAAAAAAAAACUUAGGAACAAGAUCAAAUGCUAUUAUGACAGUAAGUCCUUCCCAAUUGCAUGUACAAUCAUCAAUGUUUUCAGAAAACAAAAUAGAAACUAUAUUUCUUCAGUUUGCACAUGUAUAAUAUUUACUGACAAUACUUUCAAAACCUAUGUUGAAAGUCCAUCUUAGAAAAU
rnacentral:lncRNA from 1 species